rnacentral:rRNA from 1 species
CCUACGGGAGGCAGCAGUGGGGAAUAUUGCACAAUGGGGGAAACCCUGAUGCAGCCAUGCCGCGUGUGUGAAGAAGGCCUUCGGGUUGUAAAGCACUUUCAGCGAGGAGGGAAGGUCAGUAGCUAAUAUCUGCUGGCUGUGACGUUACUCGCAGAAGAAGCACCGGCUAACUCCGUGCCAGCAGCCGCGGUAAU